rnacentral:lncRNA from 1 species
UGACUUCACCAGGAGGUUCUCCCUAAAUAGGUACUCUUCGGGCUCCGGAGCAGUAGUUCCCGGAUCCCACAAAAUCCUGGGAGAAGGCGGAGGGCGAGCUGCUAGGGCACUAAUGCAGAGCCAUGGUCAGAGGUAGGACUGGGGUCCACGAUGCCUCCUUUCUUUGCUGCGAUGGUAGAGAGCAAACGGUGGAAGCUUCUCUUAAGAUUCGUUCCUGUGGGCUUCGAUAAGAAGUUUGCCUGCCCCUGACUGGUUGCUCUCCUGAGAGCCCACCACUUCGGUUGGGACAGCCUCCGAGACCAACGCAAGGUAAUGAAUGCAUCCUGAGCGCUUAGUCAGGAUAUGCCGCCGUGUCCCCGCAAACAACAACUACUGAAACAAAAAACAAAACAAAACAAAAGAUAGAAAUCAAG